rnacentral:lncRNA from 1 species
GCCCCCGAGGCCGACGACGCCGAGGUGCUUGCCCGGCCCGUUGAGCGCGUACUGCACCAUCGGGCUGUACACCGUGACUCCGGCGCAGAGCAGCGGCGCGGCGCCGUCCGGAGGCAGGCUCUCUGGCACCCGGACCACGAAGUCCUGGCUGACGACCAGCACGUCGGAGAAGCCCCCCUUGGUGGUCGCGCUCGCGCUCGCGCCGCCGUCGUGGUGGUGGUGGUCCACGCCGUUGGAGGAGAGUACGAGGUCGGGGCAGUAGUUCUCGUGCCCCGUGCUGCAGCUCUCGCAGGAGCGGCAGGAGUCGACGAAGUAGCCCACGCCCACCGUGUCCCCGGCCUUGAACUUGCUGACGCCAUGGCCGACGUCCGUGACGACGCCGACGACCUCGUGCCUGCGUUGACACGUACGGCGCCGUAAGACGAUUAGAAAUCGAUCUAGGCGUUAGAUGAUUAGGCUAUGAGAAGUAUGUGCAGUGUGGUACCCGGGGACGACAGGGUACAUGGCAUUGCCCCACUCGUUCUUGAUGAUGUGGAGGUCGGUGUGGCAGAUGCCGCAGAAGAGCACCUUGAUCGUCACGUCGUCGUCCCCCUGAACCCUGAAAUCGAUGCCAAGCAGAGCACGAAUGUCAUGGAAUGUUUCUUUCUAUAUGGGGCUAUGCGUUUAGGCCCUGUUCCAAUCUCGCGAGAUAAACUUUAGCAGCUUUUUUUAGCUACAUUUAGCUAUUUGUAAUCUAAACGGAAGAGCUAAUGGUGGUAAUUGAAGCUAAACUUUAGCACUUCAAUUCAUAUAGCUAAAGUUUAGCAGAAAGCUAAAGUUUAUCCCGUGAGAUUGAAACGUGGAUUAUUUGAUGCGCAUGCAUGGCUAUUUAUCACUAUCUACUUCGAGCAGUGUCGUACAAUUCUCCGUACGUACACAGCAAGUUUAGUCGUGGAAAGGGACGCAACGCAAGUCUAUGUGUGUGAGAGACAUCUAUAGACCGACCUUCUUGAGAAGCUGUAAGGGGAGAGGAGGCCGGAGGCAUCCCUGGCAGCCCACCCAUGGGCCAUCUUGCCGCCUUGCUCCAUGGACACCGUAGCUUGAUCUACCUUACUUGGCUUCUCCGUUCAGAAGAAUGAAGCUCUGGGUGGUGGGCUGUUGGUAACUUCGGAGCACCGAUUAAAUAGGCGAACUGCGAGCACGGCGACGACGUCAGACGUUACGUAUGUAUCAUUAUUUACACCCAUGUGUACCCGUAGAUGUUGGGCACGGCGGGCAGGUGUGUGUGUAGUAAGAAGAGAAAUAAUAUUGGACAGAUUAAGACCUUAACAGCAUAAUUUAAUUACCAUUGAUUUCUUUAAUGCGUUCAGUGUUCCUUCCUGAGAAGUUUCUUACCAGAACCGGUCCAAAAUUUUAAACUUCAUCACUACCGGAAUUCGCGCCUUUGCCGAGUGCCGGUGGCUUUGCCGAGUGCUUUUUAUCGGGCACUCGGCAAAUCCGGCUUUGCCGAGUGCCGCACUCGACAACGUCCUGCGCUCGGUAAAGAGCUAGUUUACCGAGUGUAGGACACUCGGCACAGCCGAGCACUCGGCAAAGACUUCUUUGCCGAGGGUCAAGCACUCGGCAAACAUGGCUCUCGGCAAAGGGCCGUUAGCGGCCGUCUACAACUGACGGCCGUCAGUCUUUGCCGAGUGUCAAAUAUCUGGCGCUCGGCAAACAUAGUCUUUGCCGAGUGUCCUCUGUAGACACUCGGCAAAGCAUAUUUUAAUUUUUUUUUAUUUUGGUCACCAAAAUUUUUGUGGUAUGUUUCUACACUAUGUAGACCUACAUGUACCAUUUUGGGACAAUUAUAACAGUUUUUUCUAUAGCUAGUACAUUUAGUUUGUUUAUUUGAAUUUCUUCGGAAAAUUCAGAUUUGAACUGCAGGUCACUCGAAACUUGGAAAACCGUGAAUGCAAAAAUGAUAUCCAUGCUACAUAGCACAAGUUACGACCGAUUUCAGGAGCGAACCGGAAACUUCGAGCACCAUGCUCACUCAACAUGACCGUAAACUUGCCAUCCAGGUGUUUAAAAAUUGUAUAAAACAGAAACAAAGUCAGAAAAUCAUGAACCCUGUCCACGUGUCAUGAUAUCAUAUGUAGAGGCUGUGAUAAAAAUUUGAAAAAGUUUCGAGAAAGCUGUAACGCACUAUGUGUACAAACCUAAGAGAUCCACAUUGAAACUCUAUGAUUUCAUGUGUGGUUCUCUUAGGUUUCUACACAUAGUGUCUCACAACUUUCUCCAAACAUUCUAAAUUUUUUAUCACAGACUCUACAUAUGAUAUCAUGACAUGUGGACAGGUUUCAUGAUUUUCUAAGUUUGUUUGUGUUUUAUAAAUUUUUUAAACAGUUGUAUGGCAAGUUCACGGCCAUGUUGAGUGAGCAUGGUGCUCGAAGUUUCCGGUCCGCUCCUGAAAUCGGUCGUAACUUGUGCUAUGUAGCAUGGAUAUCAUUUUUGCAUUCACGGUUUUCCAAGUUUCGAGUGACCUGCAGUUCAAAUCUGAAUUUUCCGAAGAAAUUCAAAUAAACAAACUAAAUGUACUAGCUAUAGAAAACACUGUUAUAAUUAUCCCAAAAUGGUACAUGUAGGUCUACAUAGUGUAGGAACAUACCACAAAAAUUUUGGUUGGCAAAAUAAAAAAAAUAAAAAUGUACUUUGCCGAGUGUCCAAGGAAGACACUCGGCAAAGACUUCUUUGCCGAGUGCCCCCCAGGGUGGCACUCGGCAAAGAUGUGUAAGGUAAUAUUUGCCGAGUGUCAGAUGGUAGACACUCGGCAAAGGAUCCUUUACCGAGUGCCACCGAUCUGGCACUCGGCAAAGUUUAUUUUAAAAAUUAAAAAAAACUUUGCCGAGUGCCAGAUCACGGGCACUCGGCAAAGAAGGCGAAUAUACUCGCCCGCGGCUUCCUUCUUUCUCCUUUCUUCUUUCUUCUUUCUCCUUUCUCCUUCUUUCUCCCUGCGCGCCCGCCGCCGCUCCGCGCCAUCGCCGGCUCGCCGCCCGCCGUGCCGUCGCCGGCCGCGUCCGCCCACGCCAGCGCCCGCCGCGGCCGCCGCCCGCCGUGCCCGCCGCGGCCGCCCUCGCCAGCGCCCGCGCCCGCGCCCGCCGCGGCCUCCCUCGCCGGCGCCGGCGCCCGCCCGUCCGCCCGCCCGUCCGCCCGCGCCCUAGUGAGUGUAUGAAUCAUUUUUAUUGUAGUUGUAUAGCUAGUAGAUUUGUUUGGUGGAGCGAUUAGGAUGGAAUCAACUAGCUACUAGAAUUGUAUAGUGACCUUGCUCGAAUGAACUAGAGCGAGUGCUUGUAGUGUUUUAUUAGGAUUUUGUAUUGUAUUAACCGCUUGAUUGUAUAGUGACCUUGCUCGAAUGAACUAGAGCGAGCGCUUGAUUUUGUAUUGUAUUAACCGCUUGAUCGAGUGCCGGUGAUGUGAAUUUUUUGUUGACAGACAUGUAUUUUUUGCAGAGGUCUUCCUAGCCGUUGCGGGUCUGCCUGCACCGCGUCGCGUCGCCACUGCACCGACCCGCCACAGCCCCACUAGCCUGACUCCACCGCCACCCUAGGUAUAACCUCUAUUUCCGCAUCAUGGUCGUAGAUCACGUAACCCAGUUAGGCGUCUCCCGUUCGAAAGAGAUACGGUGUAGAUAUGCAGAUCUUUGCAUAUCUACAAAUGUAUCAGUUUCGAAUUGUCCACGUUUUUUGGACAGCCCGCGGUUGCGUAGAUGGUGUUAGUUUCCAUGCUCUACUCCGGUCCGAGAAAGAGUUUCGGCGUCACCUCCCUGUUGUUCUCCGGACAGUACACUCUCCCUGCCAGGACGUGUAUCCGGAGAACAGCGGGGAGGUGCUGCCGAAAUUCUAUCUCGGAUCGGAGUAGAGCAUGGAAACUAACUCCAUCUACGCAACCGCGGGUGGGAUUAGGACCUAUCCUCACCUAUUAGAAGGUAGGAACGUAGUGUACAUGCAUUACAUGUCUAUAUUAAACUAUACUCGGUUAUAUAUGUUAGAGGAUGGAGGACCGUGAGUGGAUGUACACGGGCCGCGUUCGACGUAAUGAUGUCACCCCAGAAUGGAUUAGGAAGACCGAUGCUUUCGUGGAACGGGCAUAUGGCGAAGCUGCUAAAGGAGCUAGCCUAGUCCCUUGUCCGUGCAGCAAAUGUGACAACCAGAAAAGAAAACCAAAGAAGGCCAUGGUAGAACAUAUUUGGAAGAAUGGAUUUACGCCGGACUAUACUCGGUGGAUCUUCCAUGGUGAAGCGCAUCGCACGAGAGAGGAGGUGGUGAGACAACGCGUCGAGGAUUACGAUGCUGAUGCCGGGGUAGGAGACAUGUUGAACGACUAUCACGAGGCACAGUUCGCCGAAGGACGUACGGAGGACGAGCCAGAGGCGACCGCAAAGACAUUCUACGACAUGUUUGACGCGGCACAGAAACCCCUUCACGGCAAGACAAAGGUUUCUCAACUGGAUGCCAUUGGGCGUAUAAUGGCGUUCAAGUCGCAGUAUAGCAUGAGUCGAGACGCAUUCGAUGGUUUGUUGACAGUUAUUGGCAGCCUGCUUCCGGAGGAUCACGUUCUGCCAAAGAGCAUGUACGAGGCACAGAAACUCCUUCGUGCACUCAAGAUGACGUAUGAGCAGAUACAUGCUUGUCCGAAGGGCUGCGUCCUAUUUAGGAAAGAACACACUGAGGCAAAGUACUGUCCGAAGUGUAAAUCAUCUAGGUUCAUGGAGGUAGACUCUGGUGAUGAACAGAAGAGGCAGCUCGACAUCCCCGUGACAAUCCUACGCCACCUUCCGUUCAUAUCGAGGAUCCAGCGUCUAUACAUGACAGAGGAAUCUGCGAAACAGAUGACAUGGCACAAAAAAGGCAAACGAUACAAUCCUGACAAGAUGGUUCACGCAUCCGAUGGUGAAGCAUGGACCCACUUUGAUGUCAUUCACCAUGAGAAAGCUAAAGAGGCUCGUAAUGUUCGUGUUGCGCUGGCCACAGAUGGGUUCAAUCCCUAUGGAAUGACCGCUGCCCCAUACACAUGUUGGCCUGUGUUCGUUAUCCCCAUCAAUCUCCCCCCCGGCGUAUGCUUUCAAAGACAGAACAUAUUCGUGUCGUUGAUAAUUCCUGGACACCCGGGGAAUAAAAUGGGCGUGUACAUGGAGCCUUUGAUUGAUGAAUUGGUCCGUGCUUGGGAGGAAGGGGUAUGGACGUACGACCGAGCUACGAAGACAAACUUCAAAAUGCAUGUUUGGUACCAGUACUCCAUGCAUGACUUUCCGGCGUACGGGCUAUUUUGCGCCUGGUGUGUUCACGGUAAGUUCCCAUGCCCAGUUUGCAAGGAAGCUCUUAGGUUCAUUUGGUUGAAGAAGGGUGGCAAAUAUUCGUCAUUCGAUAAACAUCGACAAUUUCUCCCUCCUGACCAUGCAUUCCGACUAGACAUCAAGAACUUUACGAAAGGUGUCGUGGUGACAGACCGCCCACCUGCAAUGAUGACUGGUGCCGAAGUUCGUGAACAGAUAGAUGGUCUCGUGGCCAACCCAGAAGGUGGUUUUGUGGGAUAUGGUGAGCAACAUAUGUGGACACAUAAGUCGGGCUUGACUCGGCUCCCCUAUUAUGAUGACCUGCUCCUUCCACACAACAUUGACGUGAUGCACACUGAAAAGAAUGUUGCCGAGUAACUUUGGGCGACAAUUAUGGAGAUUCCUGAUAAGUCAAAGGAUAACGUAAAGGCAAGAGUGGAUCUGGCAGAGUUAUGUGAUAGACCAAACCAAGAGAUGAAGCCGCCUAGUGGUGGUAAGACAUGGAGAAGGCCUAAGGCUGAUUUCGUCCUGAGCAGGGCCCAGAGGAAGGAAGUACUAGAGUGGAUCAAGAUGUUAAUGUUCCCUGAUGGGUAUGCAGCUAACCUUAGUAGGGGGGUGAACUUAUCUACCCUGCGAGUCUUAGGGAUGAAGAGUCAUGACUUCCACAUAUGGAUUGAACGAAUUCUUCCGGCGAUGGUUCGAGGCUAUGUCCCUGAGCAUGUCUGGCUAGCGCUUGCAGAGUUGAGCUAUUUCUUCCGCCAGCUUUGUGCAAAAGAGUUAGCUCGGACCAUGAUUGCAGACUUGGAAAGGAUGGCACCCGUGUUACUGUGUAAGCUGGAGAAGGUCUUUCCACCCGGCUUCUUCAAUCCGAUGCAGCAUUUGAUUAUUCAUCUCCCGUAUGAGGCACGAAUGGGGGGGCCCGUGCAGGGACGUUGGUGCUAUCCAAUCGAGAGAUGUCUAAAGAGUAUCCAAAAGAAAUGUAGAAAUAAAUGCAAAAUCGAGGCUUCCAUUGCAGAGGCAUACAUACCGGAGGAGGUGUCAAACUUCACAACAACUUACUAUGGUGACAAACUGCCGAGCGUGCAUAAUCCACCCCCUCGUUACAAUGAUGGCGGCAAUGAAUCGAACCUCAGCAUUUUUCGAGGGCAACUCGGAAGCGCGAGUGGUUCGACCACCAAGACCCUGAGACAUGAAGAGUGGCGCCAUAUCAUGCUAUAUGUAUUGACCAACCUUGAAGAGGUGACGCCAUACAUGGAGCAAUUUCUUCAUGAAUUCUGGCGUCGAUCAAGGGACCCAACUCCACAGGAAUAUGAUACCCUUCUUCGAAAGGGUGCGGGAAAUGGAUUGCCCGAUUUCAUUUCCUGGUUUAAACGUAAGGUACGUGCUUAGUUUGUCAUUUGAAGUUGCUCUUACGUGCGAAUAAUAUAACAAUCUAGCGUGUUUGAACUUGCAGGGCCAAAGAGAGCCGUCUAUGAGUGCCGAGUUGAGACAAGUAGCCAAUGGCUUUGCCUAUAGGGUCAGGAAAUUUUCUGGGUAUGACGUCAAUGGAUACCGUUUUCGCACAACAAGCUACGACCAAAGCCGGCCCAAUCGAAAAACCACGUGUUCUGGAGUCUAUACGCCCGGGCUUGACGAGGUCGAGUAUUAUGGAAGAAUUGAAGAUAUAUAUGAACUCAAUUUUUAUGGUUCCAAACCUCUUACUCCAGUGAUAUUCAAAUGUCAUUGGUUUGACCCUGAAGUUACGAGACGGACACAUUCUAAUCUUGGGCUAGUCGAAAUUCGACAGGAUUCCACCUUACCAGGAGACGAUGUCUAUAUUGUGGCCCAACAGGCCACACAAGUGUAUUAUCUUCCAUAUGCGUGCCAAACGAAACAACAUCUUAAGGGUUGGGAUGUUGUGUAUAAGGUAUCACCGCACGCUAAAUUAUCUGUUCCAAACGAUGAAGAUUAUAACUUAGACCCGGACACAUAUGACGGAGAGUUCUUCCAAGAAGAUGGGCUCGAAGGGCAAUUUGAGAUAGACUUAACCGAAGCGAUCGGAAUGGAAGUAGAUAUUGAAAUGGUUGUUGAUGACGAGGAUGAUGAGGUGCAAAAUGAGAAUGACUUAGAAAUACUUGAAGGCAAUGCCAAUGACGAAAUUGCGCCUUCAGAUGAUGUCGACUAUGAAAUGGUUGAUAGUGAUGAUGACACUUAUGAUCCGGCUAACCCGGACACAUAUGAAGAUUAUUUUUAAUCGAUGUAAUGCUAUAUUUCAUUUAUUUUGCAUAUGUUUCUAAAUACAUAUUUUUUAUCUGUGCUUAAUUGUUUACUCUUAAUUGCAGGUUGUUGGACAAAGAUGGUGGGCGGUGGGACGAGGACGAGGAGGGGGAGGGGGAGGAGGAGCACCCGUAGGACGGAGGAGCAGGCGCAGCAGGACGACGCCGUACAGCAGCAGGUGGAGCAGCAAGCCGCUGUCGAUGAGGCACAGCAGGACGACGACGAUGCGGCGCAGCAGGACGACGACGACGAUGACGCCCCUCAGCAGGACGUCUCAGGUUCUGGCUCCUCAGGUUCGAGGAGUAUCUACCUGCGAGGUCCCGCGAGCCUCCCUAAGCGACCCAUACUUCGUGACAGACGUCCGCUGAUACGACCCGAUGGAGAGAGGUAGGUAACUUUAGAUAUUGUUGCUGCCUUUUCAUAUUAUAUGUUCAAAUUAAUAAUAGAAACUAAUACUUCAUCUUAAUCACUUGGACAGGUCUUGGAUGGUUUUGGAGACUGCAUGGGGUCACGGCCGCAACCCCAAUGGCAUCCUGGGCCUUCUAUGCCGGGAACACUUCCCUGGACUUGUCGAGUACGCCGGAGUGACGAGCCCAGCAUACACCUUCGACCACUACGCCGUCGCCCCCGAUGCAGUAGAUCGGGACGGCAGACAAUUCAACAACAAGGCAGAGCGGGUGAAGCAAGAGCUGUGGGUAAGUCUUCCUCGCACUAUAUUGUUUAAUAAGUCGCAUUUGUUGCAUAUUCUUGAAAUAAUGUAUGGAUACAUCGUCUUUGUAUGUAGGAUUUCUUCAGGUGCGAUGUUGGAUACGAGGCCAGGGCGGAUGUGGUGUCUACGACGUGCUGUAAGAAGCUCGUCGUGGACAUGCACUACGAGGCGCGCAUCCAGGCCAUCGUCACUUACCACGGCUCCGUCCUUGGGGAGAAGGUGAACAAGAAGGACGCCCGAACCAUGUCGUUGACUCCGGACCAGUACUUGCAGGUAAAUACAAAACUUUAUUAUUGGUACUAAAUAUGGUUAUUUUUUUCUUCUGAUAUGCUGUGUACUUAUAUUUUUUUAGAUGAUUCCUCAUUGGUGCGCCGCGCAUCCUGAGUGCUGGGAGCAGAUGGUGCAGAGGUGGUGCUCGGCUGAGUGGGAUGAGGCGCACAACGCUAGCCGGGAACGGCGUUUGCUGAUGCAAGGUCCCUCCCACCAUCAAGGCAGCCGCAGCCUGGGCAAAUACGCGGAAGCAUGGGUACGCACUCUUUUUUAUUUAGGUAUAUAACUUUCGAUUAGACAUGAUUUCUAACCAUCUCGUUGGUUUUCUCGUAGUCGGCGGCACAUGGUGGCGCGCCUUGCUCCACGUUCUCGGCAUAUGCCAUGGCCCACAAGGGGAAGGCGACGUCCGACGUCACCUACAACCCGGAUGACGGGCCCGAGGCGUACACCAACCCCGCCAUCCACAGCCGACUCAGUGAGUACACCGCCAUGGCCAAGGAGGUCCAUGGGCCAGAUUACGAUCCGAGGACCGAGGACAUCGACGGAGAUGUCCUCAUGAGGGUCGGAGGAGGCAAGAGGCAUGGGCGGUACUGGAUUGCCGACGGGGCAAUCGACUCGUCCUCCACUCCCACUCUCUCUCAGGUGCGAGCAAGGAGCACGAGCGCGAGCCCAGCCAUACGACCUCGGCAGGACACCUCACAGCAUCGUAUCCAGCAACUCCAGGUUAUUCCUUAUCUAUUCAUCGUUCAUUGAUUUUUAUAUAUCUUCUCUUUGCAUUAUCGUAACAUUAGGGCGAAAUAUUACAGACUCAACUAGAUGAUGAGAGGAGGCAACGUGAGGAGCUAGAGAAGAGGAUGGCGGAGAUGUUCGCGUACAUGUAGAGCCUUGGCGCCGCACAGGGUCAUGCUCCACCACCUCCGUUGUUCCCUGCAGCUGACCCUACAGAGUUCACUACUCCUGUGAGUAUCAAAAUUUUAGUACUGCAUGAUAUAUAUUCAUAUGUUAUCACACAUACAAUCUGUUCUCUGUGCAGGGUCAAUCGGCGGCGUCGAACAACCCUCAUGCUUCGUCCAGCCCUUCGACGAACCAGUCCAGAUGCCCACCUCGUUGAUGAUUUGUUUUGUGAUGAUCCAGACUUACCUUUAUGAGUGUUGGUGAUGUUUGUUACACUUUAUCUUGUGAGAUACUUGGUGAUGUUAGUGAUGAUGCAGACUUGUAUCUGUUUUGUGAUGAUCCUGACUUUAGUGAGACUUGUGAUCUGUUUUGUGAGACUUUGUGAUAUAUAUGGUGUUGAUGAUAAAUGUGUUCAUUCUGUGAUGUGCUUGAUAUAUAAUGUGAUGUGAAUGAUAUAUAUCUUUUGUUUGUUUGGAUGGAACAACAAAAGCAAAUAAAAAAGGGACAUUCUGGUCACUUUGCCGAGGGUUGCUUUGCCGAGUGCUAUGACCAUGGCACUCGGCAAAGAAGGAAACCUGGGAACCGGUAAAGACAUCUUUGCCGAGUGCUGACAGUGGCACUUGGCAAAGAAGGAAACCUGGGAACCGGCAAAGAUGUCUUUGUCGAGUGCUUUUGCCAAGGCACUCGUCCAAGAUACUGGCAAAGGGGCCCACUGGAGGGUUCUUUGCCGAGUGCCGGUCCACCAGACACUCGGCAAAGAAACCUCCUUUGCCGAGUGCCUACUAGGGCUCUCGGCACAGGGACUGGCUGUGGGGUCCACUGGACUAGUCUUUGCCGAGUGUCGCCGUAGGCACUCGGCAAAGGAUCCGUCACCAUCACUUGGCGCCGUGACGGUGACUUUUCUUUGCCGAGUGCCAAAUGGUACUCGGCAAAGUCUUUGCCGAGUGCCCGACAAAAAGUACUCGGCAAAGAAGCUGUUGCCGAUGUACAGUUCGCCGAGCGUUCUUUGCCGAGUGUUACACUCGGCAAAGCCUUUGCCGAGUGUAAAAUAGCCUUUGCCGUGUGUUUAGAACACACGGCAAAGAAGCUGAUUCCGGUAGUGCAUGCAAUACGAGGGGCUCCUCACAUGAUGAGUGGCAUAUAGGGAACGGAUAUAUCGACACCGGAAAUACGGAGAUACAUAUAACUUUAAGAGCAUCUCAAACAUUUUGAAAGUCACUCUCAAUUUUGAUUUUUUUAUAGGAUAAAAAACUUACUCCAACAACUAUUCUAACUCCGAAUCUAUUGGUUCUUGAUAAAAAAAAGGGAGGUAUCCAAACGGAGUCGCGGAAAGAUAAACAAGAUGCUGAUUUCUUUUUUCAACACUCCAUUGCUAAGACUACCGCCGCCACUACCCCACUGCUUGAGGGUUCUUCUGAAUCGAAUCUCCGUACACUUUUUUCAGAUAUCAGAAUAUAGAAGUAGUGCAGGCAAUAGAGAUUACGUUUUGUAAAUUCUGGUUAGGGCGCUGCGAUUUCCUACCACAUGGUUGGCCAUGGAAGCAGGGGCGAUCGCCCUCACUUACCCUGAGAUAUUCACCAAAAUUGGAUCUCCAACCAACACUUUUCGAUUUGAGAAUAUCGGAAUAUAGAGCAAGGAAUUAUAUAUUCUAUUUUGAAAGUUAUAGGCGUGUGUUAUAUGUCGGCCUCGCUGUGCCUACGGAGUCAAUGACGUCGAUAUUAAAAAUCUAGGAAUUUCAUGUUUACUUUAAUUUAGAAAUAAUAUUGCAAAAUGCAUGUAUGUACUAUUACUGCUCGCAACAGUAACAGAUACAAAUAUGAAUACCAUAUUAAUCAUAGCAAAAAUUAAAUUGAUUUUCACAAAUUCAGCAAUAAGAAAAUACCCAACUGAGGGAAUACUGCUCAAGGCACUAGUGGUUCUAGUGGUUCUAUUCACACGUGCUAGUAUGUUCUGUUGUUUUAAGUCGUGGACCACAGUCGAUACAGGUACAUAUCCGUAGUGCUAUCCUCGAACGUCUACCAUGAUUAAGAUCUUUAAUGAGCAGUAACAAAAACACUCUAAAUAUUUUAUUGUCCACAUACCCGAGCAGGUGCCUUCAGAGAUCAAUGGUUCAGAGGUCUACUCUCCCAACUUUCCAUGCACACGCAGAGGAUCAGGACCGGAAGAUUCAGACGUAACUCAACUAAGAAGUGAGACGUAUCUUUAUGUUGUUGUUCUUGUACCAUCCUACUCAUGCUAUGAGAGCUACAUAUAAUAGCAUGAAUUUUAGGAAGAUUAAAAGAUAGAGUAACCAUCGUAACAUAGGCAUGUUACUUCAUACGUUAUAGGUUCAUUACACUUCUAUCAAUUCAACCAUUAACACCUUCAUUAACCUGCCCAAGUGACAAAACAAUCCCAUCAAUACAGUAUGGUAAUAGACUAUACCAUGGUAUGUCUCACAUUGUUUCCGUAUGACUAAAUGAUUAUGAUAGCUCUAGAUAGCACCAAAGAGCCUCAGAGGUCCGAAUGGUCACCGACAAGAGACCUAAAGGGUCGAUGUCCCAACAACCAUGUGGCCCCUCAAACGUCUUAAGGCCUCGAAGGGCCUCUAUCCACCCAACAGCCACAUGAAACCCCUAUACGUCCCAAUGGUUAUGCCCCCUCCCCGGCACGCCCCAAGGAUCCUAGAGGGCCACCAACCUUCGAGUGGUCACAGGGGGCCCAAAUGUCUUGAGGGACAUGAACCCCCUAACUUACUAGGAGUCAAAGCGGGCUAACAUCCCAAGAACCAUGAGGGCCCUCGAACAUCCAGAGAUCCACACACCCCUAGAUGUAAUAAACAUAUGCUUAGGAUUAAUCUAAUCUAUUUUAAUUAGAUAAAUUUAUGAAAUAUAUCGAUAUUAAAUCUAACAAUCCCCACUAAAUACUAGGAUACAUAUAAAUGAUCUCACUUCUCAGUUGUCGGAGAAAUGAUCACUAGGCCCUAGGGCCCUCUAUUAGUAGAGGGGCUCAGAAAGGUCCACCCAGGAAGGACCCAUCCCUUGAUAAACCUGAGGCACCGAGCCAAGGGACGGGAGAGGCGGAGCCGCAAGUGGGUCGGACGGAUGGAUCGAGGGGAAACCAUUCGAGUGGAUUCCACACCUGACCCGGACUGACCCGCCAUACCGCAUUAACUACGCCUUGCGCCGAGCCACACAGAGGGAGUCGGUCCACUUUUCACUCAUGACCUACGGCCUCCUAGGCUUGUGGCCCACUCAUGACCUAUCGAGCCUAUGCCUGAGCGCGCUGGUCACCUAUAGGCCCCACAACACGACGAGGCGCAUCGAGACCUAGGCUUUGGUGGCUAGGGGUCGGUGUGGCACAAAGACGACAAUGAUGGCGUCAGGACUCUUCGCAGCCCACGUCGCUCGCCAUAAAGAGCGUGACCAGGGAAGCCCAGAUGACCAAGGCACAAAUGAACAAACACAACUUUACUAAGGUAGAACGCCACAUUUUACCACGGCAUAGUAGCUCCUUCAUAGGGAAGCUACUGAUAGACGACCAACACCUUUGCCUAUAAAAUGGUGGAGGUCAGUCAGAACAAGGGGAAGAUAUGCAUAUGAGGCAACGAACAUACACACUCGACGAGACCAAAAGACCCAGAAGCCGUAGCCAAGGUGCGGGCCAGCGCGAUGUCCAAGCCUUAGCUUAGAACUCCAGUCGCGUAGUCUUUAGGUCCACCCAUGCAUAAGAGACCUGGGAGCUCCUCCCUCUCUUGCCCGCUUGUAACCCCUACUACGAUCUUUGAGCAACAAAGGUGUCGGUAGCGCAAGUCGCCAAAGACUGGAUGUAGGGACGUUCUGCCCGAACCAGUAUAAAUCUUGUGCCCAUAGACCACACCAUCCGAACCAUGGAACGAGCACAUUCAAAUUUACUUGUCGGAGCAUAGGUUUGAAACACCGAUAGUUGGUGCACCAGGUAGGGGGCCAUCGUGUUCUCAAUAAUCUUUCUAGGCUCCGGAUGGCCGACCACGGUAUAGUUUGGGCCCUUAGAAUGACCAUUCGUUUCGAGAGCCUCGACUUCAUUGUCAACAACGAGGGAAUGAUGAUCAGGGCCCCAAAAUCCCAAUCACCCUUGAUGGAAGUCUUCAUUGACAUUGCUAGGGGCCUCGGAGGCCUCCAGCUUAGCUCCCAUCAAGGGAGCGACGGACGGCGAUGCGCGAUAGGACUGACUCAUGUCAAGUUCAUGGGAAUGAUGGACCUCGUUAGGGAUUCAUUACACAACCUCCUCUUGUCGAGAUCAGCAAAUGGACAUAGAUCCCCAUCGAGAGGGGCAAGUCGUGACCCGACUUAGGAGUGCAUCACGGUCGGCACCCCGGAAGAUCGUUCCCUACUCGCAAGAAGCCCUAAGGGAACCCCCACUGGCGUAAUGAUACGCGCAGUGGUAUUCGCUCCACCGCGGCUCAACCUAUCUUUCCAAAAGUCGUCGACUGGACCGAGUCCUUCCUAAAGCCACUAGUGCCCCCUGACUAGAAGGCGAGGAGCACCACGAUAGCGAUCACGAUGAGAGGUUGGACAAACACAUGUUGAGACGGCAAAUGUCCGCCACCGCAUAAUCCAUGAUGGAAGUGGACCCCCACGAUUCCACGGGCAAGCCAGAACGUUGUGGCCACCGCGACACUCCUUGAUAAGCUUCCUGAAGCUGAGACUCCGAGCGAACGGAGGGCAGAGCUCAAAAUCUAGGGUCCUCUUUACCUUGUCGUGCAAUAGCAGGCCAAGAGUUCCAUGUCAUCGCGCUAGGAGCCUGGGUUUGGCUAGCAUACCAUGUCCACACCAUCGAAAAACCACGCUUCAUCGGGAUAAGUGUUCGAGUAUGAGGGGGAGGCACAACAUAUGUCCCAUCUCGUCGGCGUUCGUGGACAUGCAGAAACACACGGAGCGUACUCGACCCUGGGCCCUAGGAAAAAGGGCGAGAGGAGCCAGACAUCGGUCAUAUGUACAAUCAGCGUCAUAGAGGAUGCUUUGAUCUCGACGAGGACCAAAGCUUGAGCCCCCUCCAUCGGGACCGUAGGCCUUCGGUCACCACAUCCUCUAGGAACCGGUGCCACAGUGGUCAGGGCACCCACCAACAUCGCAAAAGUACUCGAGAGAUUCAAACCCAAGCCUUUGACUAGGAGACUACCUAUUGGCGUGUCAAGCAGGAUGGGCAGACCAUGAUGAUUUUUUAAUCUGGAACCUCCCCCUAUAUUUGGUAGAUUUGGCACGAGCAUGGCUAGAAAACCUGAAGCACAGAUGUAUCUAGAGCUAGGCCAACCUCGUGGAAGUUUUUGUUGGAAAUUUUCACAGCACGUACGUGCGCCUAGGCAACCCGUGGGACCUUAAGAACUGCCGACAGAAGCCAGAUGAAACCUUGAGGGAUUACAUCCGACACAUCUCAUGGUAGUGCAACGAGCUAGUCAGCCUCGUCGAUGCUAAUGUUUUUAGCACUUUCACCUGGAACCAUGAGUAAAACUCUAGUGCACAAGUUGGGACAGAAAAUCCUAUGAACCACAAAGGAACACCUCGACAUCGUGACUAGCCAUGCGUCGGGGGAAGAUGCGAUGGGGGCGAUUUUCGAUCAUCACAAGCAGAAGGUUAAGCACGACAAAGAGCCCGAUGGAGGCAUCGGGGGACGUCUCGAUAAGAGAAAGAAGAAGGGUAAGCGACGUCACGCCGAUAUGCUAGUUGCCGCAGCGGUUCAGAAAGGGAGGAAUUUCUCGACCGAGGAGGCCAUCGACCAUUUCAAGAAGAUGCUCGAUGCCCCAUGUACAAACCACCGCUACCCCGUCCCGCACGCCUACAAAGACUAUGGGCUUCUGAAGAAGUUGCUAAGCAAAGAUGUGUCGUCUGGGAGGAGCCCUGAGCCCGGUAGCUAGCAGGAAAGAUAAGACCAUGUUUUCCUAACGAAACUGGGUGUCUGUUGAUCUUUUGAGGGUCUGACUACUACGUGUCAUGGAGGCACCGAAAGCUCGAACGACGUGAAGUAUUCUAAGUCCGAUAGACGAUCCCAACUUUCCUCGACUGAUUCAACCAUGCCAUCACCUUCUAUCACUCCGACCAUCUCGAGCACGUCCCAUGGCCUAGGUGAUACCCGAUUAUCGUGAAUCCCAUCGUCGGAUUGGUGCGGCUAUUGAUAGUUAGAAGAAGCGGACUCAAUAUUCUCUACUCUACCAUGUUUGAUGCCAUGGCCGUUGGUUGGGGCUGCCUCUGACCGAUGGGGGUUCCAUGGUGGUGUAUCAGGAUGACAAUCGACGCCGCUUUGGCAAGUCGACUUGCAUGUUACCUUUUGGACACUGUCCAACUUUAGGGCAGAGAUGCUGACAGUCGACAUAGUUGGGUUCCGAGGAACCUAGCACGCCAUCCUUGGAAGACCAUGCUACAAAACAUUCAUGGUCGUACCCAAUUACACCUACCUAAAUCUCAAAAUGCUAGGUCCCACAGGUACUAUCAUCGUUGGCACCACGGCGCAACACGCAUACGAAUGCGAAGUCGAAUGCUGCGACUUGGCCGAAGGAGCCACCACCACCUAGGAGCUUUUGGAGAUACUUCAGGCCAUCGACGAGCAUACGUCCUAUGGGAAGUGGAUGGGCAUGACCUUCAAGCCGGCUGAUGACACUAAGAAGGUACCCUUGGAUCCCGCACGUGUCGACGGGCAAACACUACGCAUCGGGGCCAAGCUCUCCCCGAAUAGGAGAUGCGCUCGUCGACUUUCUCUGAGUACAGAACAACAUCUUCACAAGGAAACCUCUGACAUGAGGGGCAUCCCGAGGGAAGUCACCGAGCAAUCUCUAUGGGGUCAAACCUGGGUCCAAACCCAUAAAGCAGUGACUACACCGCUUCGACAAGGAAAAGCGUAGGGCCAUUGAGGAAGAGGUCGACAAGCUCCUCACGGUUAGGUUGAUUGGAGACAUACACCACCCUGAGUGAUUGACCAACCUAGUAUUGGUUCAGAAAAAGAGCAGAAAAUGGAGGGUGUGUGUCAAUUACACCAGCCUAAACAAAAGCCUGCUCGAAAGAUUUGUUUCCCCAUCCCAUGCAUCGACUGGGUUGUCGACUCUACCUCUAGGUGUGAGGUACUAAGCUUCCUCGACGCCUACUUAGGCUAUCACCAGAUCCCGAUAAAGGAAUCCAACCAACUGGCUACUUCGUUCAUCACCCCUUUUAGCUCAUAUGUUACGUGACAAUGUCAUUCAGGCUGAAGAACGUGGAAGCAACGUACUAGUGGUGCAUGAUUAAAUGGUUUGGCAACCUCAUCGGGAGGGUCAUAGAAGCAUAUGUCGAUGACAACAUGGUCAAGACCAUGCGGUUUAAAGGCCUCGUAUCCAAUCUCAGGUUGACAUUUGACAGGCUAAAGGCAAACGACAUCAAAUUAAAUCCUGAAAAAUGUGUCUUUGGUGUUCCAGGGGCAUGCUGCUAGGCUUCUUGGUCUCCGAAUGGGGGAUCGAGGAAAACCCAGAGAAGGUCGCCACCAUCUCAAACAUGGGACCAAUAGAAGACAUUAAAUGGAUACAUUGGAUCAUGGGGUGCCUGGCCUCCCUUAGUCGCUUUAUUUCAUGCCUUGGAGAGUGUGUACUACCACUCUGCAAGCUGUUGUGGAAGGUCUACUGUUUCAAAUGGAUGACAGAGGCUUAUAAGGCCCUCGAUAGCCUCAAAGACAUCUUAGCCAGGGCCCCCAUUCUCAUCCCGUUGCCGGAGGAUGGAGAGCCGCUCUUGCUCUACAUAGCGGCGACCACCUAGGUGGUCAGUUUAGUGCUCGUCAUCGAGAGACAAGGGGAAGGAUGUGCACACUUACUCCAGCACCCUGUCUACUUCAUAAGUGAGGUCAUAACAGGCGCAAAACCCCGCUACCCCCACGUACAAAAGCUCAUGUACGUUGUCCUUAUUACUAAGCGAAAGUCGAGCAUUACUUCAAAUUUCAUGCUAUCACCAUAGUAACGGUGUUUCCCAUGGGGGAGGUGAUCCAUAACCCAGAGGCUACCGAUAGGAUCACCAAAUGGGAUAUGGAAUUUCCAAUUCUCCGUGAACGGUGAUGAAGUCACAAGUACUCGCUGACUUCGUUGUGGAGCUAACCGAGCCCCAAAUGGAGUCAACACCCAUGAGCAGCAAAUAUUGGUUUAUGUACUUUGAUGGCUCACUAAUGAAAGAGGGAGCCGACGGCGACCUAGUUUUCAUCUCUCCCUCGGGAGAACAAUUGCGGUACAUCAUCUGACUCCACUUCCAAGCCUAAAACAACAUGGCGGAAUACGAGGCUCUCAUAAACGGACUAUGUAUUGCCAUAGAUCUAGGCGUCCGAUGUCUCGACGUUUGGCAAGAUUCCCAGCAUGUCGCGGGGCAGGUGAUGAAGGACUCGGAAUGCCAUGACCCCAAGAUGGCAGUGUACUGUUGAGAGGUAUGGCAGCUCGAAGACAAAUUUGAUGGCCUCGAUGUAAACCACAUUAUCCAGUGGGAUAAAGAAGCAGCAGACAACCUCGUAAAGAUGGCAUCCGGAUAGGCAACAGUUUCUCUAGGGGUUUUCUCUACCAACCUCUUUGAGCUGACCACUCAUUACAAUCAACCCGCUGUGAGGACGGACAGUCUUUGAACAUAGACCCACCGACCCAUGAACCCAUCCCUAUCAUUGAAGGCAAAAAUGACCUGGCAUACCCCGCAGGUGAUUGGAGGACAUUGUACCACAACUACCUGACCAAUGCAUGCUCCUUGAGGACAAGAUGGAGGCAUGAAGGCUUCAUUGAUGGGUCAAGUCCUUUGUUCUCAUUAGCAAGGACUUAUACAAAAAGGGCACAUAGGAAUUAAGCUAUGAUGCAUCCCCAUCGAGUAGGGGAUACAACUUUUGGAGGAUAUUCACAUUGGGACCUAUGCGCAUCAUGCCACUCCACAAGCCUCUUAAGAAAUGCCUUCUAGCAAGGGUUUUAUUGGCCCACCAUAGUGUCUGCACACAAACUAGGUGGUGCGUACCUGUGAAGGUUGCCAAUACUAUGCACAACAAACCCACCUACCAGCGCAAGAACUGCAGAUGAUCCCAAUCACUUGGUCAUUCGUGGUCUUGGGGCUCGAUCUGGUUGGAACUCUCAGAAAGGUGCCAUGGGGCUACACGCACGUCCUAGUCGUUGUCGGCAUGUUCACCAAGUGGAUCGAAGCUUGGCCUAUCACAAUGAUCACCACUGAUCAAGACAUCAAGUUGAUCACUAACAUCAUCCAUCGCUUUGAGGUACCAAACUCAAUCAUCGCAGAUAAUGGCAUGGAGUUCACUGGAAGUAUAUUCCUAAAAUUUUGUGACAAAUACCACAUUCGUGUUGACUGGGCCAUCGUGGCCCAUCCCCAUGCGCAUGGAUAGGUGGAACGAGCUAACGACAUGAUACUGAAGGACAUUAAGCCUUGUGUUUUCACCUACCUUAAGAGACUUGACCAAUAAAGGCCCUAGGAGCUAACUGUUGUCCUCUAGAGCCUGAGGACUACCCAAACCAUUCGACCGAGUACAUGCCUAUCUUCAUGGCUUAUGGAGCUAAGGUGAUCCUCCCCACCGAUCUCAAGUACGGUGCCCCAAGGGUGAAGGAGUACACCGAUGAAAGGAACGAACCGAGCCUCCAAGAUGCGCUAGAUCAACUUGACGAAGCCUGUGAUGUAGCGCUCCAUGGUUGGCAUGAUACCAACAUACACUAUGAAGGUAUCACAUCCGACACGUACGAGAAAGGACUCUGGAGGUGGGAAACCUUGUGCUUUGAUAGGUACAAAGCAACAAAGAUCAUCACAUGUUGUCUCCAACCUUGGAGGGGCCAUUCAUAAUUGGAGAAGUACUAUGGCUGGGCACCUACAACUUGAAGGAUGAGGAAGAUAAGACGCUCGCCAAUGAGUAUAACAUUGAGUAGUUGUGAUGAUUCUACCCUAAGCGAAGCCUCCGCAUCCGUGAUCGACCCGAAGAACUAUCCCCAACCCUAAGACGACAGUCAUAGGGGUCAUGAACAGCGGGGGCUGAGGAGAAAUCAAUAGCUUGCCUCUUGUCAAAACAUCUACAUCCUUUCAGUAGGCAUUACCACGCUAACAUCUCUCCUCUUUUGUUUGCUCGAUCAACGCAAGGCCACCCUCCCACGCUCAGAACAAUCGAAAGGAACGAGAACUGUCUAAAACCAACACAACGUACUAGGCCACCCUUCGAUCCACCCUUGCCCAGGAAAUGGAGUGAGCACCGAUGGCCACUCUUCGGUUAGACCUCCAAAACUUGAUUGUUUCCAUGGCAGGGACCGAAAAAAUCCAUGACAAACCAAUUGCGAAUCCUGGAGUUCAAAGGUCGAUCCAAGGAGGGCUCGUGGCUGCUCCAGCGAAAAACAGAGCAAGGGGCAGCCACUGACGGGCACACUAUUGGCAAGGACCCUGACACGUGAAGCAUUAAGGGUGUCAUAGCUCAUGUUUGAGUCCUAGGAAGGUCUAACUCAUGGUUUAUAGUGAAGAAGGAAACGAGCUGUCGAUUCUAGUCAAACAGAAUUGGCAACUAUAUGAGUUGGUGCCUAGGAGUAUGAGGACGAUCCCCAGUAGAACCCAUGCUUGGAUCCUACAAAAGGAACCAGGGCCUCACUCGGAUUACCUGUUUGUAGCUCACCGAGCGCCAUUGCUAGCCUAUCAAGGAAAGUGUGGUACGACUCACUUCCUCUCAUCCCUGUGGAGGGGAUGCACGAAGGAGAGUAAACGGAAAAGACAGGAAGACACGCCUAGAUGGAUCUAUGCAUCGAGCAGAGACUCAGUGUGGCAGACGAGUGAAAGAUGCACACAAAGCGCCCCUCUCAAAGGGAACCUAGGACAAGCCAGGAUACUUGUUCUCGAUGGUGACUUCACUUAGAGCUCUAUAGUCUAUGCACAUCCUCUUCAUACCAUCCUUCUUCUCUACAAACAACACUAGAGUGGCCCAAGGCGAGGUGCUGAGUCUGAUGUAGCCCUUCUCCAACAACUCGUCUAUCUGCUUCUUGAGUUCCACCAACCCUGAUUUAGCCUAAAUUCUCCAAACUUUUUCGACCUUUAUUGAGGGGUUCCCUAGCACUUAGAUAAUCAUUGUUAGCACAUAAAAAGAUUGACCAAGUGUUAGAACCAUACCUCUUUCACUUCUUUGCAAAAGGAUUUGCAAUAUGUGUGAACUUAAGCCCCAAAAGUGCUUUUCUCUACAAUAUAAGUUAGAGCCCGAACACAAGUACUAGAAACAUUGUAAUGGACGUAUCAACAUAUUUAAAUUGUAAAUCUCACACUUCUACCAUUUUACAUCAACUUGCUCACUUGGGUCCAUGUCUGCGCUCUUUUGAACUAUUGAUAUCCUCAAUUUUCUUUCUUUACACCUAUGGUCAUGCUCUUAUCAAUAUAGUUAGUUCAAAGUGGUGUGUUGGGCAUUUAAUCACCAAAACAACUAGAAAUGGCUCGAGGGUACAUUUCGCUUUCAAUGCUUCAUCUUUUGAUUUUAAUAGAUAUAUGUACCAAUAUUUAGCACAAUCAUCUAUAAAAGUUAUUAAGUAUCUUCUACCAUUUUUAGUCAAUUCUCCAUUCAUCUUGCACAAAUUAGAAUGAACUAGUUCUAAAGGUGCCUAGUUUCUGCCCUCCACAGUCUUGUGAGGCUUACAUGGUUUCUUUUAGAUUGCACACACAUGACACAUAGAACCUUUGACUAAAUUAAAUUUGAGAUUAACUUUAGAUUUGUUAGCCAUGUUAAAUAGCAAAAUUAACAUGGCAAAUCCAUGAAUGUCAAAUAUCUGACUCAUCUAGAAAAAUCACAUUUUGCAUAAUUUUAAUGUAUACAUUAGUAUGCAAAGUUAAGCGGAACAAGGUUCCACAUUCAUAGCUAGAAAAACAUUCCGUACUUCAACAUUAUACAUUUAUUGGUCACUAAAACUAUUUUAUAACCAUCUCUACACAAUAGAGAGCCAAUAACUAGAUUCUUUUUUAUGAAUGAAAUAUGUUACAUGUUCUUCAAUGACACUAUCUUUUUGAAGUAAACUUCACAAUAACAUAGCAAUCCAAAGACUCAAACAUGAGAUCUACUCCCCAUCAUUGAGGCUCAAGUCCCAUUGACCUUAUAAGAAGAAAAAAGAAGCAUCCACACACACAUGAAUAUUAGACUUAUUAUCCAUCCACCACUCUAGUGAAUGAUAGACUGAAAGAAUAUUAGGCAAAGAGGUACCAUACCCGAAUGUCCUACUUUAGUCUUGCUAAUUACCACGUUUGCAAUUUUUUUGUCUUGCUUAAAAUUUACUAGGCACUCUCUUGCCCGUUACUCAUUCUCCUGUAAACAAAGAAAUCAACUUAUUUGUUCUUUUUUCUUAAACAUAAUUGAUUGCUUAGGCUUUAAGUUGUUCUCCUACUUGUGCUUCUUAUUUCGAUUACGAGGUGCAUUAGUGUUUUUCUUCUGUGCUAUAUUGGCACUAGAAGACUGAACCUUUUUUCCAUGAUUGUUUUUUUCUUUCACCCUUUUACCAACAUCAAGAGACCCAAUAAGGUCAGCCACAUAGAACUCUUAUCUCUUAUACCUUAGAGAGGUAGCAAAAUACCUAUAAGAAGAUGGCAACUCUAUGAAUAAUACCGCCAUCCAUAAACUUGUCAUGCCAUACCGAUCAUAGAAUAAACUAUACUACAUUUUACAGAUUUAAUGAUCAGAGUGUACCUAGUAGAGGGACCAAUGCUCAAGGCAUUAGUGACUCUAUUCACAUGAGUUGACAUUAUACGUUGCUUGAAGUCAUGGAACAUAGUCAGUGCAGGUAGAUAUUCACAGUGGUGUGCCUCGAAUGUCCAUAAGGAUUGAGAUCUUCAACGAGCAGUCACAAAAAUGCUCCCUAAAAACUUAAUCACCCACACACUCGAGCAUAUGCAUUUAGCAGCCAAUGGUUCCAGAAGCAUGCUCUCCCAACUCUACAUGCUUCUAAAGUGUAGAGACAGGGAGAUUCAAACAUAACACAACUAAGAAGCGAAAGAUAGCAUUGUGUUAUUGUUCUUAUACCAUCCUCAUUGUGCUAUGAGAUAUAGAUAUUGUAACUAGAGUUACAACAAGAUUAAAAGAUAGAGCAAUCACUAUAACACACGCCAAUUACUUUAUUUGUUAUAGGUCCAUUAUACCUCUAUCAAUCUAGCUAUUAACUCCUCCAUUAACCUAUCCAUGCUAUAAAACUAGCCCACCCACACAACCACGAUCGUGGACAAUAAUACCACAAUAGCUACAUUGGCCCUAGAUGACCAUGAUAGCUCUGGAUGGCCCCUGAGGGCCCUAGAGGGUCUAGAGGUCCAAAGGGCCUUUGACGUUCCGAGAGCCCUUGUGUCUACAAUGACCCAAAAUGUCCGAAGGGCCCCUAACCACCCAAUCGCCAUAGCUCCCCCGGACGUUCCAAGGGCCUUGAUAUCUCAAGGGCCAAGAGGCGGGACGUCUUGAGGGGCAUGGGGGUCUGGGCUUCCUGAGAGCCAUGGACCCCCUCGAUCGUCACAAGAGACACAUGGCCCCGAACAUCGUAAGAGCCAUUAGGGGCCCUCAGUUGUUCGAGGAGACAGAGGAUCCUAGUGGUUCCUAGAGCCACAAAGAGCCCCUGACUGUCCAAAUGGACUUAGGGCGUCCCAAACUUCCUAAGAACCAUGGGUCCCCGGAUGUAUUUAAUAUGUGUUUAGUCUUAAUUUAAUUUAGUUGGAUAAAAUACGAGUCAUGUAGAUAUUAAAUUUAACAGUCGGUGGUGUAUGUGCAACAACUAUAGCAUGCUUUUUUUAAUUAAAUUACUAGAUACUAUUGGGUGGCUAUUUUGAAUAUUUAUUGAAAAUAAAAAAGUACAAAUAACUCACCUCACCUAAGGACAAUAUUCACAUAACCCCAUAGAGUAUUUUUUUUAGUUUAUUUUAUCCCUCAGCUCCUUUGAGUUGGUUCAAUUUACACCAUAACAAAAAUGACUUUUUUAUUUCUUUAAGUAUAAAAUGAGUUUUAGCUCAAAUUUUGUUGCUUAGUAUCUAAUUUCAUAAUUUAGCCUGAAAAUCUAUAUUGUGAUUUUUUAAAAAAUUUUUGAUAGGUUAUUGAUCAAAUAACAUAAUAACUUUAAUGAUACAAAAAUAAAAAUAAAAUAAUGAUAAAAAUUCUUAACAUAUUUUCUAAGAUAAGUUAUGAUGUCCUCAUAGCCUGUAGAAAAUAUCAACUUAAAAUUCAAUUGUACUUGGAGAAACGAAAAAGACAAAUUGUAUUAGGGGAAGAUUUGUCUUCUUUGUUUCUCCCCGUACAAGUUUAAUUUUAAAUUUAUAUUUUUUGAGAUGAUUGAUGACAUCAUACCUUAUGUUAGAAAAAUAUGUUAAGUAUUUUUUAUCAUUAUUUUAUUUUUAGUUUUAUAAAAUUAAAGUUAUUAUCUUAUCUGAUUCAUAACCUAUCAAAAUAGUUUUAAAAAUCAUAAUAUAUUUUUAGGCUAAAUUAUGCUAUUAGCUACCAACAAACAAAAUUUGAACCAAAAACUCAUUUUGUACAUAAAAAAUAAGAAAAGACAAAUUUUGUUAAGGGCCAAAUUAAAUCAACUCAAUUGAGUAGCGUAAAAUGAACUAAAAAUAUAUUUUAUAGAGUUAUGUGAACAUUGUCCACAGGUGAGGAGAGUUAUAACACUAAUUUUUUGGAGGACGGUUAAUCCGUUAGAGAUUCUCUAAUGUUAUAAAUUCUCUUAACUAGAUUUUUAAUAUUUGACUAUUGAAUCUCGAUCGUAAAACCGGCAACUAAUUAAUGUCGAGUGUUCUUUUCAAAUCAGUUAAAAACUCCAUUCGUCGUCUCAAAAGACUGACAAAAACAGAAGCUGUGCUGUGCGUAGGACCAAACAUGCAUACCAGUCCACACACGCAUAUUGUUAGUUUGAUGACUGGGACCUUAAUUAUAUAAUAAAAAGAGCCAAAUCAAAUGCCAUAACCUGCUGUAAUAAAUCGGGUUUGCCGAGGUCUGACUGACAUUUUUGGCGUUUCUUUAACCUGUGCAGCCUGAGCCUAUGCAGUGACGCGCGCGCCGAUGACGCAUGUGCUUAGCAACUACAGCCAAAGCUAGUACGGUAGAUAAUAACCUGUAUUUACUUUCUCUCUCUGUCGAGCUCGUGGAGGAAGUAAGGGCAUGUACAACCUAGAUACAGCUGCACGGUACUCCAAGUAUAAGACACAGCUAAAACACAACAUAAUACAGUGGUCAUGUCUAAAACAUGUGUCUUACCAUAUUCAUUGUACCAAUCAAAACAUUCAAUAAAUUAAAGUGACCAAUCAGAUAGUCUCCUGUCUCGAAUAUAGAGCUAAGACACUGUGUCUUCGUCAAGAUACGUGUCUUGAGAUUUUUUACAUUCACCCCCCUAGACACACUCUAAGACACAACUUAAGACACCCACUGUACAUGCCCUAAUACAAAUUGAUCCAUUGGGCUUAAAUAAUCGAAUUGAUUGGGCACCAGAGACAUGCAAUGAAUGGUUUAGACGCGCCUAGUUGUAGUAAUAGUAUAUCCACUAAAAAAGUACAGUAGGUAGUAGACUGAAAUUAGUGUGGCAGGUUGCCGGCUAGCACACUAUUUUAGAUAUGUUAGUUUGGUCAUAUAUACCCUAUGAAGACUCAUUUUUCUAAUAUGCAUUUUUUGGCGUCUAUAUACGUAUACUUACACCAUAUUCUAUGAACAACUUGCACAUGUCUAGAGCCCCCCCCUGGCCUACCAAUAGACACAUCUUUGGCUUUAAAAAGGCCAUUAAUACACAUGCACACAAUAACUUGGUUAACAUAAUGUUAUGGUAAGUAUAGUGUAACAAAGGACAAUGCGAUCCAAGUCAACUAAUAAGAUCAUGUUUAAUUAUUUGAAUUUCUAGGCAACUUAGCGUGAAAAGUCACAAGUUCAAACAAAUAGCUAGCUUUUUGUUUAGCUUCUAGUAAUCCAAAAACUCAUAAAAGUUGAGAUUAUGUGGGAAGAUAAAAAGCUUAGAUUUCUAGACUUAUGUACAUUUCUGAGUUUAGUAAGCUAAUUGUAGUAAAUGGUGACCCCUAAAGGGGGUGAAUUAGGACUUCUAAAUAACUAUCUCUAAACAAGACCACAAAUAAAUCUCUAGAACAAAACCUAUGCAAAUAACUUAAUUAGAUUGUGCAAUGAUUUGUCUAUGUGUUGCUAUCUCUACAGCAAAACAAGUUAUGCAACCUAAGUACCAACCUUAUAUAAUCUAAACUAAGAAUAGUAAAGAUUGCAACUUAAGUAGAGAGAGUAAAUAUGGAAGAUUAAAGAGCUAGUAGAGAAAGCAAACUCUCGUGGACGACGCCGGUAUUUUAACGAGGUAUUCGGAACCACGCAAGAUCCUGACUAAUCCUCGUAGGUGCUCUUACGCAAAGAGUAGCUCAUGCGAGGGCCAAGCACCACGGUCGAGUAACUCCGUAGAGAGCCGCUGACCUUCUCCACGCGCAAGUGGUGCCUUGCUUCCGGCUCCUCUCGAAUGCUCCCCGUCGUCUCCACUAUCGAGCUUCUGGCUGAAACGUCAUGGGCUUCGUUCACUCCGGUACAUGGUGACGGUCGUGUCACAAACGUGGUUGACACGGUCUUGCGAGACUUUUGCCCCACUCGAUACAAUAUUACAACGGCUAGCACAAGAGCCGACUGGUUUUGUGGGUUUUUUCUAAAGUCACUCAACUAACUAUAAACAACCUAGAGUAAGCGCUUAAUUGGUCUAACUAAUCUAAACACUUCACAAAGCAUCUACACUAAUCACCAAGUGAUUCUAUUAAGCACUUGGGUGUUUCAACACAUGGAAAUGUGUAUAACAUUGCUUUAUAUGUUGCUUGGACUCCCACACCUUCAAAUGGCCGGUUGGGUAAAGUAUAUAUAAGCUCCAACUCGACUAUAGUCGUUGGAAAGUAGUUUUGCAGCUUUCUACGGCGCACCAAACAUGUGCACCGGACUGUCCGGUGGUGCACCAGACAUACCACGUGUACUAGCCGUUAGAGGAAGUCGUUGGAGCUUCUGAAGAUGGCACAUCGGACAUUGCGCACAUGACAAUGCGGUUUGCACAGGACAGCCAACGCGGAACAAGAUGCUUGUCGUAUUUUGGCCAUAAUUUUUAGCUUCGGACUCCAAUUUCAAUGAUCUUGUACUUUUUGGAAAUAUUAUAAAAUCAUCUAUAACUCAGAGUUGAAGCCAUAUCAUUUUGAGUAAAUUUGGCACACCGGAUUUUCCAGUGCAAACAAAACUCAUGUGCCACUGCAGUUUUUUCAGCACUUCCAACUUUGUAUUGUGAGCAUAAAUUUUAGCUCCAAACUCUGAUUUUGAUGAUCUUGAACUUUUUGGAAAACUUAUAAAAUUCUCUACAUCUUAGAGUUGAAGCCAUAUCAUCUUAAUUAGAUUUGAAAUAGUGAAACACUUGCUCUUCAGUCAUCCCUUCUGUCAACUUUGUCAACUUCACUUUUGUUUUGUGGCUUUCUAUCCCACUUCUACUUCUUGGUGUGUUGGACUAUUAGCAUGUAUAAAGUGCCUUCAAUACGAGUUCGUAGUGUCUUCUCUGGGUCUUAUAAUGUAUUCUUUGAGAUGUUGGUUCCUUAGUGCCUCAGUCCAAGUCACUUUUGCAUCUUGUGAACUACAAACACAAACACUAGCAAACACAUUAGUCCACAUGUUAUGUUAAUCAUUAAACACCAAAAUCAUUUAGUUAAUGGGUCGGGGUCCAUUUUCAUUACAAUAUCCACUUUUGGUGAUUGAUGACAACACAACCAAAGCAAUCAAAUAUAACAAAUACUUGAUAUAAAUAUGCAAUAUACUUUCUAGGAUGCAUGAAUGUUCCCAUAAUGUGAGAUUAUGGACUUAAACCUCCCCCUAACUCCAUAAUCCAAAUACUUCCUAUUUUGGACGAAAACCAACAUAGAUAACCAUUCGAAAGAAUAAAAAAAUUAAAAUUGGUGGAUUUUGAUAUUUGAUAACAUUGGUUUGAGGAUAUGUAGAACAAACUCAGUGAAGUUUAUAGUCUUGAGGUUACUUAUGGGACUGCAUGGGUAGUUAGACCAAAAGCUUUGGAUAAGAUUUAUGUAAGUCGGGAUGAUAAUUUUUAGUCCUUAUUUAAUUUAGAGCAUAACACCUUGCAAAGUAUCAUAGAUCAAUUAUGAAGAUCCAUACUGUCCAAUUGAUAUAAUGUUCACUUUGACAAGUUGUUUCAUGCAUUGCAAAUAUGCAUAGAUAGCUUCAAAAUGGGUAUAUGCCUUACCUUCUUAUUGAUUCAACUACCUUAACUAGGAGGUACAAUGGAUAGUUAGUAGCUCCAUGUGCCUUGGAUGGACACAAUUGGAUGUAUCAUGUCGCACGAUGUAUCAUUGGCUCAGAACCUAAGGAGAACUAGACUUAGUUUACGAUGCAUCUUGAUAAGGCAAUAGGACAUCCACCGCCACUAGCAAUAUCUUCAGAUGCAUGCAAGGGUCUAGAAGGUAAGAUCAAGAAGAUAUUUCCUGACAUUGAGCAUAGGGUGCAUGAGGCAUCUUUAGGCAAAUUUUAGGAUGAAGUAUCAUGGUGAAGUUUUUGACAAGAACAUGUGGUCGGUUGCUAGGGCUUAUGGUGCGAGAGGUUUGGUUUCCAUUUUGGUCAAAUUAUCAAUGCUUGCCUAGAUGUUGUAGGUUACUUGAAUGAACAUCAUAAUCACUUAUGGAGCAGGUCUGUGUUCUCCUAUGCGAUAAAAUGUGACUAUGUGAACAAUAAUCUUGUUGAAUGUUUCAAUUCAUGGAUUAAUAACAUUAAAGACUUCCCCAUUGUUGAUUUAGUUGAUUAGUUGAGGCAAAUGACAAUGGAAUUAUGGUAAAAGACAAGAAAGAUUGCAGAUAAGUUUUCUGGUAGUAUUCUUCCUGCUAUUAUAAGUCAACUUAGUGCUAAGACUAAAGUUUUAGGACAAAUUUCAGUAUACAAAAAUAGACACAAAAUUGAGGUUUUUGGAAAUUAUAGGGACAUGACACCUUGGCAGCAUGUGGUGGAUUUGCAUGAACACACUAGCAGUUGUAGAGCAUGAGAAGUGACUGGAAAGCCUUAUCAUCAUUCUUUGGCUUUCAUACAAAUAAAGAGAAAUGUUGACUUGGACUCAUUUGUUCAUGAAUAUUAGUCUGUGUGGAGGUUCAAGGUUGCAUAUAGUGGUAUAAUUCCAAGAAUGAACAACAAGGCUCAAUGGCCCAAGGCAAACUUGGGAUUCAAGUUACUGCCACCCAAGUUAAAAAUACAACCUGGAAGAAAAAGAAAAAACAUGAUUAAAGCAAGCCAUGAAUUAGGUGCAAGGAAACUUGAAAAUGCCAAACACGUGGAGAAGUUGGACAACAUGAUUGAAAUAGUGGUGUUCCAAGGAAAAAUUAAGUACAAAACUUAGAUGUUCAUGUUUUACUAAUAUAUUGUGGCUGUCAUUUUUCGUAUACCGAAAAACACCUUCCAAGAGGGCAUCCAAGCCAAUGAAAAUAUCCCUUGAUAAUAUUUCUCCUAGAAGUAUUACUCGAGAAGGAUUUCAUUGUUGCAUGGAGGCCAAGAUAAUGCUAGGGCCAUCCAGUGUGUCUCUACCACGGUCAAGCGCCUCCUUGUGUUGUCCUAUGAAGAAUGAGCCUCAUCAUCUAUUGAGACAAGAUGACUUAGGCCCUGUUUGUUUGGGAUUAUAAUCUAGGUAGAUUAUAUAAUCCAAUGUAAAUAAGCUAGUGAGGAAACAAACAAGCAACUUAUCUGAUAAGAUUAUAUAAUCUAGCACUUGAGAUUAUGAUAAUCUAUAAGCUCAUCAAAAGGUGCUUAUUUCAGCUUAUUUUUUAUGAAAGACCUAUUACCCAUGGCAAGUUGAUUAAAAUUACUUCUAAUUGCCAUCUACCUGUCUAUAGACGUUCUCACCCACCAUACAAGUAAAGUAGCUAAGGGUAUUGUUGUAUUUGUAUGCAUAUGAAUAAUAAGCCAAGUCCAAAUAAUCUGAGCUAACAAACAGUAGCACCUAGCUUAUUUAAUCCAGAGCAAAUAAUCCAGAUUAUACAAUCUAGAUUAUAAUUUAGAUUAUAUAAUCUAUAAGUGGAAACAAACAGGGCCUUAGUGUUGUGGCAUGGGAUUGUGUGGUAUUUUGUGAACCAUGUCGUUUAGUAAUUCUUUUGAGAUGUUUCAAUGGCUAACUUAGCAUCACUAGCUAGGAUAAGAUGGCUUAGUACUCUGACAUGGAAUUAUGUGGUAUUUUGUGAACCAUGUAGUAUGAAGUAGUUCUUUUGAGAUGUUUGAAGGGCUAACUUGGUUAUAAAUAUGUAAUGUGCAACAUGUAUGGCAUAUGGAUCGAUCACGUUAUAUGCAAUAUAAUUUGCUUAACUUUACUAAAAUGGAACUUGUAUUUGCCUAUCUAUUUGUGUAGUUUUGUAUGGACUAAAGAGAUAGAAUUAUAGAAAGGAGAGAUUGAAAUGCUAUAGGGGCAAUUAGGUACAUGUGUAUGUGAAGGAAGCAGCAGAAUUCAAAGGAUUGUUAUUUUCUAAAUCUAUUUGGUGAAACAGGUGCGAUUCUUUAGAGACAUGGAUUUUUAGUGCUAUUGUCAGAACACUGUCAUAGAUCGGUAUCGUUUCUUGACUUCCCUCCAAAUCAUAGUGAUAUAUAGGUGCGCAUAUGAAAACGGGAUUAAGAUGCGGGGAUCGAGAAUGGGAGUUGGAGAACCAGCCCUCUCGAGGUUGUCCUUUGCCACAUUUAAAUUAGACCAAUUCUCCACGGGGUUAAGAAUUCACCUCGUUUUUUAAAGGCUAGUUUGGAAACUUAAAUGUUCUUUGGUAUUCUCGGGGAUUGAACGAGAAAUUAGUUUAAUUUCUCGCUCAAUUUCUAGAAAUACCGGAGAAGAUUCAAUUUUCCAAAGUAGCCUUCCGCCAUUGAGCUUUCCGCCGGACGAAGGGAUGAGGGAGAAGGUUGCCAUUGACGAGCUAGUCAAAGGAGAGACCGCCCUUGCGUGCCAUGGAGUUUGCGAGCUCACUUCGACCACACCAAGCUUGUUUAUUAUCCACCGGCACCAUACAUCCAGAAACGACACAACCCGAAACUCUACCUUGUUUAUUAUCCACGCCUGCGUGUGAUGGCCGCGUACGUGCUCCAACCAGAACAAUAAGACACGCUCGAGGAAGAAGCAAAUCACACGUCGAUCGACAGAACACUAGGAAUGGUGAUGCCUAGCCUCCAAUCUUGCUGCCCGCGACGUCGACAACGAAGCGGUACCUGACAUCGUUCCUCUCUAGGCGCUGGAUGGCGGUAUUGACGUAGUCCAUCCCGACGACCUCCACAUCCGCGGUGAUCCCGUGCUCGCCGGCAAAGUCGAGCAUGGCCUGGCACUCCCCGACGCCGCCGCCGGCACUCCCGGCCACGCGCUUCCCGCCGGCGACGAGGCUGAAGGCAGGCACCUGGAGCGGCUUGGUGGGCAGGCCGACGACGACCAUCUGGCCCAUCGGCUUGAGCAGGUCCAGCAGCGGCACGACAGGGUGGUCGGCCGACACCGUGUCGAUGACGCCGUCCAAGGUGCCCGCCGCCGCCCUCAUCUGCUCGGGGUCGCGGCUGACCAGGAACGCGUCGGCACCGAGGCGGCCGAGGGCCUCGUCCCGCUUGCCCAGCGACGUGCUGAUGACGGUGACCUUCAUCCCGAACGCCUUGCCGAAGCGGACGGCCAGGUGGCCGAGGCCGCCGAGGCCGACGACGCCCAGGUGCUUCCCCGGCGCGUUCAGGCCGUACUGCACCAUGGGGCUGAACACGGUGACGCCGGCGCACAGCAGCGGCGCGGCCCCGGCGGGCGGCAGGCUGGCCGGGACCCGCACCACGUAGCGCUGGUGGACGACGAGGGCGUCGGAGAAGCCGCCCUUGGUGGUGGCGCCGCCGUCAUCGUCGUCCAGGCUCACGCCGUUGGACGUCUCCACGAGCUGCGGGCAGUAGCUCUCGUACCCCU